AUGGGAGACAGAGGAUACGGAGGUUCUAGAAGCUAUGGAGGAAGCAGCGGUGGUGGAUCCCGCGGAGGAUAUGGAGGUGGAGGCCGUGGUGGCGGCGGCGGAGGAUACAGCGGUGGUCGUGGUGGUGGAUAUGGAGGAGGUGGCGGUGGAGGCUACGGAGGAGGUGGUUAUGGCGGCGGUGGCCGUGGAGGAGGUCGUGGAGGAUCCAAUGGUUCAGCUGGAGGACGCCUUCGCGAUGUCGACUGGUCUGCCGAGAACCUUACUCCGAUUGAGAAGGAUUUCUAUCACGAGAAUGCAGCCGUAUCCCGCCGUGAGCAGUAUGAGAUUGAUCAAUGGGUAUCAGCAAAUCAAGUUACUCUCGAAGGCCGUGGUGUCCCACGCCCGGUUUUCGAAUUCAACGAGGCACCAUUGCCAGGACAGAUUCACGAGCUUUUGUACGGAAAGUUCCAGAAACCAACAGUUAUUCAGUCAAUCUCCUGGCCGAUUGCCAUGAGCGGACGUGAUAUUAUCUCUAUCGCCAAAACUGGUUCCGGAAAAACACUUGCCUUCAUGCUCCCAGCUCUCGUCCACAUCACAAAACAGGCUCACCGUCAACGCGGAGAAGGACCAGCCGUUCUUGUUUUGCUUCCAACUCGUGAAUUGGCUCAACAAGUUCAAGAAGUAUCAAUCGAUUUCUGCCACUCGUUAGGACUCAAGAUGACCUGUCUCUUCGGAGGAGCAUCCAAAGGACCACAAGCUCGUGAUCUCGAGCGUGGAGUUGAUAUCGUUGUUGCCACUCCGGGACGUCUUCUCGAUUUCCUUGAUAACGGAACUACCAACAUGAAGAAGUGCUCUUACUUGGUUCUUGAUGAAGCCGAUCGUAUGCUUGAUAUGGGUUUCGAACCACAAAUCAAGAAAAUCAUCGGACAGAUUCGCCCAGACAGACAAACACUCAUGUUCUCCGCCACAUGGCCAAAGGAAGUUCGUGCGUUGGCUUCAGAUUUCCAGAAAGACGCUGCUUUCCUCAACGUCGGAUCCCUUGAGCUCGCUGCCAAUCACAACAUCACACAAGUCGUCGAUAUUCUCGAAGAACAUGCAAAGCAAGCCAAACUCAUGGAGCUCCUCAAUCAUAUCAUGAAUCAAAAGGAAUGCAAAACCAUUAUUUUUGUUGAGACAAAGCGGAAAGCCGAUGAAUUGACUCGUGCUAUGCGUCGCGAUGGAUGGCCAACUCUCUGUAUUCACGGUGACAAAAACCAAGGAGAAAGAGACUGGGUUCUUCAAGAAUUCAAAGCAGGAAAAACACCAAUCAUGUUGGCCACCGAUGUUGCCGCGCGUGGAUUGGUUACACCAACUUGAUUUGGCCGAGAGGAUUGAUCGAAAUGCAAUGCAGUUGAUUUUGGCAGCGUCUUGUGACGUUAUCAUAUCAUACGUUGCAGAUGUGUAGUGGCAGAGAGUACCUUCUGGUGCUCUGUGAAUGAAAUCUACACAUCGAGUCGAAGAAAGCGGUUCAGUUUCGCAAGCCGCCAGUAUUGCAGUCAUAUACAUUGAGUGCUGUUGUGGCUUGUGCAGGCUGUUCCGAUGACUCAUCAGUGACUCCGUCGAAUUUUUCUCCUCUUCCCCAUUCCCAUCUUUAGAAUUCUGGGUUCAGAUGUCGAUGAUAUCAAAUUCGUGAUCAACUAUGAUUAUCCAAACAACUCUGAAGACUAUGUUCACAGAAUCGGUCGUACUGGUCGUAGUGACAAAAAGGGAACCGCCUACACUUUCUUCACUCAUACAAACGCUUCCAAGGCAAAGGAUCUGUUGAAGGUUCUCGAUGAGGCUAAGCAGACUGUUCCACAAGCUCUUCGUGAUAUGGCAAACCGCAGUUACGGAGGUAGCAACUCAAGGGGUCGCUAUGGAGGUGGUGGUUUCCAGAAGAGAGGAUACGGAGGAAACGAUAACUUUGCUCCAAAGAGGCCACGAUAUGACAACGGAGGAUACGGUGGAGGCAGCGGUGGAGGUGGCCGAUGGUAG
rnacentral:misc_RNA from 1 species